rnacentral:rRNA from 1 species
AUUGAACGCUGGCGGCAGGCUUAACACAUGCAAGUCGAGCGGGGUGAUGGUGCUUGCACUAUCACUUAGCGGCGGACGGGUGAGUAAUGCUUAGGAAUCUGCCUAUUAGUGGGGGACAACAUCUCGAAAGGGAUGCUAAUACCGCAUACGUCCUACGGGAGAAAGCAGGGGAUCACUGGUGACCUUGCGCUAAUAGAUGAGCCUAAGUCGGAUCAGCUAGUUGGUGGAGUAAAGGCCUACCAAGGCGACGAGCUGGAGCGGGUCUGAGAGGAUGAUCCGCCACACUGGGACUGAGACACGGCCCAGACUCCUACGGGAGGCAGCAGUGGGGAAUAUUGGACAAUGGGGGGAACCCUGAUCCAGCCAUGCCGCGUGUGUGAAGAAGGCCUUAUGGUUGUAAAGCACUUUAAGCGAGGAGGAGGCUCUUUUGGUUAAUACCCAAGAUGAGUGGACGUUACUCGCAGAAUAAGCACCGGCUAACUCUGUGCCAGCCGCCGCAGUAA